rnacentral:rRNA from 1 species
CAGCCGCCGCGGGAAUACAGAGGGUGCGAGCGUUAAUCGGAUUUACUGGGCGUAAAGCGUGCGUAGGCGGCUAAUUGAGUCGGAUGUGAAAUCCCCGAGCUUAACUUGGGAAUUGCAUUCGAUACUGGUUAGCUAGAGUGUGGGAGAGGAUGGUAGAAUUCCAGGUGUAGCGGUGAAAUGCGUAGAGAUCUGGAGGAAUACCGAUGGCGAAGGCAGCCAUCUGGCCUAACACUGACGCUGAGGUACGAAAGCAUGGGGAGCAAACAGGAUUAGAGACCCCCGUAGUCCCUGUCUCUUAUAA